rnacentral:rRNA from 1 species
CGAAACUAACAGAUUUACUUCGGUAAUGACGUUAGGAAAGCGAGCGGCGGAUGGGUGAGUAACACGUGGGGAACCUGCCCCAUAGUCUGGGAUACCACUUGGAAACAGGUGCUAAUACCGGAUAAGAAAGCAGAUCGCAUGAUCAGCUUUUAAAAGGCGGCGUAAGCUGUCGCUAUGGGAUGGCCCCGCGGUGCAUUAGCUAGUUGGUAAGGUAAAGGCUUACCAAGGCGAUGAUGCAUAGCCGAGUUGAGAGACUGAUCGGCCACAUUGGGACUGAGACACGGCCCAAACUCCUACGGGAGGCAGCAGUAGGGAAUCUUCCACAAUGGACGCAAGUCUGAUGGAGCAACGCCGCGUGAGUGAAGAAGGUUUUCGGAUCGUAAAGCUCUGUUGUUGGUGAA